AACGAACGCUGGCGGCAUGCCUAACACAUGCAAGUCGAACGAGACCUUCGGGUCUAGUGGCGCACGGGUGCGUAACGCGGGGGAACCUGCCCUUAGGUUCGGAAUAACUCCCCGAAAGGGGUGCUAAUACCGGAUAAUGUCUUCGGACCAAAGAGUUAUCGCCUUUGGAUGGGCCCGCGUUGGAUUAGCUAGUUGGUAGGGUAAAAGCCUACCAAGGCGACGAUCCAUAGCUGGUUUGAGAGGAUGAUCAGCCACACUGGGACUGGGACACGGCCCGGACUCCUACGCGAGGCAGCAGUGGGGAAUCUUGGACAAUGGGCGAAAGCCUGAUCCAGCUAUGCCGCGUGAGUGAUGAAGGCCUUAGGGUUGUAAAGCUCUUUUACCCGGGAUGAUAAUGACAGUACCGGGAGAAUAAGCUCCGGCUAACUCCGUG
rnacentral:rRNA from 1 species